AACAACAUGAAUCAAUUUUUUUAGUUUUUUUAUGUUUUUUAGUUUCUUUACUGUUUGAUUCUUAUUGAUUGAUUUAGCUGUUAGUUCUUUAAACUACGGUCUUCGCUUUUGUGCUCUUUCAGUUCAAUUAAAAUGGGUUUGUUUGUUUUUACUUUUUUUUGUACUAUUUGAUUCUUUAUUGAUUGCCCCUUUUGUUGAUUUUGUUGUUCUUGGCUCUUUGCAAAUUACAGUCUUUGCUUUUGUGCUCUUUCAGUUAAAAUUUAAUUGGGUUUGUCUGUUUUUACUUUUUUUCUUUUGUACUGUUUGAUUCUUAUUGAUUGCUACUUUUAUUAAUUUUACUGUUCUUAGCUAUUGGCAAACUGCGCAACAUUUGCUUUUUGUGUUCUUUCAGCUCAAUUAAAGACUAAAUUUUACCUGUAUAUAUGUUCAAAUUUAUUUAUGUUCCUUUUGAAAUCCUAUUUUACUUAUUUAUAUUUUCCUUUUCACUUUGGUAUUAAAUACUUUUAUUGGUAAAUAUACCAAAUGAUGUUAUUCAACUUGUUUUAGAGAAGGAGUUUGGUCGAAGCAUGGGUGAAAUUUUUGAGAAUUUUGAUGUAAAUCCUCUCGGUUCAGCUUCGAUCGCACAGGUGCGCUCUUAUCAGGUAGCGUUGAAAGUAUUUAAAACGGAAGACGCCUUUUCUUUACUUAGUUGAAGCAGAUAAAUUCUCCAUAUUGUCCACACGUCAUUGUGUUAUCUGGUGCAGAAUAAUGAACUUGGUCAGACUUGUGAAAGCAGUUUGUGCCCGCCCCUCCAUUCGUGAAAUAAUGGGGCCUUUGCAGGUCCAGGCAUUUCAGCAUGAUUUCGUUCCUAGAGAUCCCAAUGCUAAGUCUAAAAGGUUCAAAUACCCUCAAGUUUAUGAUCCAUAUGGCCCAAGGCCUCCACCGUCUGAUAAGGUUGUUGAACUGGCAGAGCGAAUUGCAUUAUAUUUUGUAGUUUAGGACUUGGUGUUGUCUUUAUUGGUUCGAUAGACAAGCAUAAAGGCUGUAAUUAUUCUAACAUGCGGAAAGUUUGUGAUGGAGUAGAGGAAAGCAUUCACUAUUGUAGUUUUCCUCAAUAAGAAGGAAAGGUAUUCUUCAUCUUUGUUGUAAGGAAAGCAUCCACUAUUGUAGUUUUCCUCAAUAAUAAGGAAAGGUAUUCUUCAUCUUUCUUGUAAUUAUUCAUCAGUGACUUAUUGAUCAAUGCUAUUUGUUCCAAAAGUUUUCUGGUUAGAAUUAUGUGGACAUUUUAUUAUCUUAAUUAUAACUUGCUCAAAGCCUGCAGGUUUAUCUUCUAUCAAGAGACUAUUAUUGUUUGAAGUUGGAGUUUGAACAUGGAAAUGGGCAGGUUUGUUUUGGUUAUGAAGAAAUGGCUGCAUAAUUGGAGAUGGACUUUCAAAAUCUGAAUACAGUGAGAAAUAUGUCAAGCCUGAAGAUAUUGUAGGAGCAGAAGGAGUGAAGUCAAGUGACGAAAAACUGAGUGAAGAUGAAUAUGCUGCCUCGGAGGAUGAGGAAAUCGCCGGAAAUAUAGAUCUUUUAGCACAUAUAACGCCCUGCAUACUCGCAAUGAAAAUUGUCUUGUAUUGUACAUGAUGUUCAGCUCCAAGAAAAUUCGAACACAACAGAACCGGGGAAUAUGUGGAAAAAUUCCUACUUACCCCUUUUUGUCAUUACUUUCCAUGGAUGUUUGUGUAGAUUAAUCCAUUGUUGUUCAAUAAUUCAAAUAUUUAUCCACUGCUGAGACUUUAAAAAGCAAUUCUCUCAUAUGCUCCUACUCCUUAUGUGCCUGCAUCAAUUGUACUACCGUUUAUUAUGCUUUGUUAGUAUUCAUUUAUACAUUAGUUGAUCUAAGUUUGGUGAUGACUGCCAAUGGAAUUUGUAUCUCCCAUGUCUCCAACAUUUUAUGGUGGAAUCCAUUUUGCAUGGCUUUUGAUUUGGUCUACAAACUUUUGGUUGGCUAGGGUAGUCUCUUAGAGAAGUUAAAACAUGGGUUUGUUUGAUGUAUAAAUGUUUGAUAUUUUUCAUAUAUAUAUAUAAAUGAGAAUAAUUAUUGCUGUUGGAUCAA